rnacentral:sRNA from 1 species
AUAAAAAAGCAAAAAAAAA